GACGAACGCUGGCGGCGUGCCUAAUACAUGCAAGUAGAACGCUGAAGGAGGAGCUUGCUCUUCUGGAUGAGUUGCGAACGGGUGAGUAACGCGUAGGUAACCUGCCUGGUAGCGGGGGAUAACUCUUGGAAACGAUAGCUAAUACCGCAUAACAGUAGAUGUUGCAUGACAUUUGCUUAAAAGGUGCAAUUUCACCACUACCAGAUGGACCUGCGUUGUCUUAGCUAGUUGGUGGGGUAACGGCUCACCAAGGCGACGAUACAUAGCCGCCCUGGGAGGGGGGACGGCCCACCUGGGACUGAGACACGGCCCAGACUUCCUCGGGAGGCAGCCGGAGGGAAUCUUCGGCAAUGGACGGAAGGCUGAACGGGCAACGCCGGGGGAGGGAAGAAGGUUUUCGGAUCGUAAAGCCCUGGUGUAAGAGAAGAACGAGUGUUAGAGUGGAAAGUGCACACUGUGACGGUACCUUAUCAGAAAGCGACGGCUAACUACGUG
rnacentral:rRNA from 1 species